AGUGAACGCUGGCGGUAGGCCUAACACAUGCAAGUCGGACGGCAGCACAGUAAGAGCUUGCUCUUACGGGUGGCGAGUGGCGGACGGGUGAGGAAUACAUCGGAAUCUACUUUUUCGUGGGGGAUAACGUAGGGAAACUUACGCUAAUACCGCAUACGACCUACGGGUGAAAGCAGGGGAUCUUCGGACCUUGCGCGAUUGAAUGAGCCGAUGUCGGAUUAGCUAGUUGGCGGGGUAAAGGCCCACCAAGGCGACGAUCCGUAGCUGGUCUGAGAGGAUGAUCAGCCACACUGGAACUGAGACACGGUCCAGACUCCUACGGGAGGCAGCAGUGGGGAAUAUUGCACAAUGGGCGCAAGCCUGAUCCAGCCAUACCGCGUGGGUGAAGAAGGCCUUCGGGUUGUAAAGCCCUUUUGUUGGGAAAGAAAAGCAGCAGGUUAAUACCCCGCUGUUCUGACGGUACCCAAAGAAUAAGCACCGGCUAACUUCGUG
rnacentral:rRNA from 1 species